rnacentral:rRNA from 1 species
UACGUAGGGGGCUAGCGUUGUCCGGAAUCAUUGGGCGUAAAGCGCGUGUAGGCGGCCCGGUAAGUCCGCUGUGAAAGUCGGGGGCUCAACCCUGGGAUGCCGGUGGAUACUGUCGGGCUCGAGUCCGGAAGAGGCGAGUGGAAUUCCUGGUGUAGCGGUGAAAUGCGCAGAUAUCAGGAGGAACACCGGUGGCGAAGGCGGGUCUCUGGGCCGUAACUGGACGCUGAGGAGCGAAAGCGUGGGGAGCGAA